rnacentral:rRNA from 1 species
GACGAGGGGUCCAAGCGUUUGUUCGGAAUCAUUGGGCGUAAAGCGGGUGUAGGCGGCUCUAUAAGUCAGAAGUGAAAGCCCCGAGCUUAACUUGGGAAGUGCUUUUGAUACUGCAGAGCUUGAAUGUGGGAGAGGGUAGUGGAAUUCCAGGUGUAGUGGUGAAAUACGUAGAUAUCUGGAGGAACACCGGUGGCGAAGGCGGCUACCUGGCCCAACAUGACGCUGAGACCCGAAAGCAUGGGGAU